AAGUACUCUGUAGUUGUCUUCAGAUGCACCAGAAGAGGGCGUCAGAUCUCAUUACGGAUGGUUGUGAGCCACCAUGUGGUUGAUGGGAUUUGAACUCAGGACCUUUGGAAGAGCUGUCAGUGUUCUUAACCACUGAGCCAUCUCAGGCCGUGGAUUUAUUCUUAAUAAUCCAUUUUGGAGAGUUUACAUUGAGCUGCUGAUAAAGACCAUCUUCACUUAAUGAAGCAAACUGGAAAGUAUAGUGUGUUGUAUGAUCUUCAUAUAUCAUGGCUCCAUUGCAGAAUGAGCUUGGUUCUAUUCUGAAUACUGAAGAAAUGUAGAAAGAAGGAGACUACAUUUGGUGACAAUUAUGGAAUGAAAUUGAGGCACAUGCGGGUGAUAUUUUUAUUAAUUGCCCUUCAGUAUUCGUUUCCAUUCUUAGCAAUAGCUUUGGAUUUUACCUUGCUGAGAAUAAAGACUGUUUCCCAUCUCGACUGAAGCAAUUCGUGGCCACGUGCCUAAGUGCCGGAGAGUGGACUAUGGGUAAAGGGUGCUUCCACUGAUUGGCUCCAAGGGCAACCCUUACAGCUGCAACUUCAACUCCGGUGCUGCCACUGUCCCUUUGGAUCGGGUGCCCUUCAUUGGCUCUUAAGGCAGUUUACUUCUGUUUUACCACUA
rnacentral:lncRNA from 1 species